rnacentral:tRNA from 11 species
CAUGACUUAGUGGUUAGCAUACAGCACUAAAAAGCAGAAGGUCGUGGGUUCAAUCCUCGCUAUAUC